AUGAACGUUGGCGGCGUGGAUUAGGCAUGCAAGUCGAACGGGUCGGGCCUUCGGGCCCGGUCAGUGGCGCAAGGGUGAGUAAGGCGACGGUAACCCACCGCGGGGCUGGGUAUAGCCAAGGGAAACCUUGGGUAAUCCCCAGCGACGCCCCGGGCCGGCAUCGGCCGGGGGCCACAGGUGCGAUUCCGCCCCGUGACGGGCCGUCGUGGUAUUAGGUGGUUGGCGGGGUAACGGCCCACCAAGCCUGCGAUGCCUACCGGGCGUGCGAGCGUGGCCCGGCACACUGGGACUGAGACACUGCCCAGACUCCUACGGGAGGCUGCAGUCGAGAAUCUUCGGCAAUGGGCGCAAGCCUGACCGAGCGACGCCGCGUGGAGGACGAAGGCCUUCGGGUUGUAAACUCCUGUCGAGGGGAAGGAAGGACGCGUGCAGAACGCGUCUUGACCGCGCCCUGGAGGAAGCACGGGCUAAGUUCGU
rnacentral:rRNA from 1 species